UUUUUUUUCGAUAUUUUUCAAAAAUUUCUGAUGGACCCCCUUGAAAAUGGAGGACUGCCCCCGAAACCCAAAUAUGGCCCCUUGCGAAGGCUGUAUCUCGGGAAAUAUCUAUCCAAUCAUUUAAUGGGAUACCGUUUUGGAAUGGUGAUACAAUUUCCUACUAAACUGCAUUUAAAUCCAAGACUCUCAUAUAUUUUCAAUUUCUUUAAGAAAUAAUUCAGUAGCACCGGAAGGAUCAAAGCAUGGAAUCUCUGUCAAUGACGUGAAUGAUGUAAAAUAAUUUAAAAAUUCCUCCAUAAAGGAACGGAGUUUCAAAGCAAGGAAUUCUAUGCAAUCUCAUAAUAUUUUUAUUCCAACGGGAAGGUGAAACUCAAACUGCGAAACUAAGUGGAAAUAGGAGAGAACUAAUAAGCGGAAGAAUGACUGGAAAAUAUGCAUUUUUAAAUAUUUUUUGUUCGAGCCAUUGUGAAGUUCAGUGACAGCACUCAAUAAAAAGUGAUGGAGCUUUGAGGCAAUGGAAAAGAAAUAAUUCAGUAGCACCGGAAGGAUCAAAGCAUGGAAUCUCUGUCAAUGACGUGAAUGAUGUAAAAUAAUUUAAAAAUUCCUCCAUAAAGGAACGGAGUUUCAAAGCAAGGAAUUCUAUGCAAUCUCAUAAUAUUUUUAUUCCAACGGGAAGGUGAAACUCAAACUGCGAAACUAAGUGGAAAUAGGAGAGAACUAAUAAGCGGAAGAAUGACUGGAAAAUAUGCAUUUUUAAAUAUUUUUUGUUCGAGCCAUUGUGAAGUUCAGUGACAGCACUCAAUAAAAAGUGAUGGAGCUUUGAGGCAAUGGAAAAGAACGCCUUUAAAACAAACAGCCUAUGAUAGAAGUGAGAUGCAAAGUGCUAAAAGUGCUGGAAAGAAUUUAAGAAAACUAAAAGUUAAAAAGCAGCAGAGGAUAGAGAGGCCGCCAUUUAUUUCGCUGAGACUUUUUUCGCCAACUUUCGACCACAAACCAACAAAAAAUCCUUACAUGAUGGUGAGAAAAUCAAGGCACUUUUCGACGAUGUGGCACAAAGGCAAACAGCGAAGCGCUCGCUACUGCACCGAGCGGCGGACAAAAUUAACAAUUUCUAAUCGCAAGUUUCCUUAAGUAUUGUGGCACAACUUUAUAUUGCCUUUCUAAACAACAUUUCCAAAAACAAAUCCCAGCUGAAAAUCCUCGUGCGCAGAAUCCAGAAACUCGUGAUCAGGUGGACGUGAUCAGGAGAUCAGGAGAAGAUUCCGGAACUUCCGAAAUUCAUUUAUCCGUGCCGUCUCUAAGAAAAAUAAUUAAGAUUUUAUAGUUUUAGUAUACUAUUUUUUAUAAAAUUGUAUAUUUGAUAUAGAAAAAUUCUAAUUAAAAACUUUCCAUUUGUUUCAACUGUGUUUUCGAAUUGGAAGU